GACGAACGCUGGCGGCGUGCCUAAUACAUGCAAGUAGGACGCAGUUGCGAACGGCUGAGUAACGCGUAGGUACCUACCGAUUAGAGGGGGAUAAAUAUUUGAAACGAUAGCUAAUACCGCAUACUAAUAUGUGGAGCUGCGUUGUAUUGGCUAGUAGGUAGGGUAAUGGCCUACCUAGGCAACGAUACAGAGCCGACCUGAGAGGGUGAUCGGCCACACUGGGACUGGGACACGGCCCAGACUCCUACGGGAGGCAGCAGUAGGGAAUCUUCGGCAAUGGGGGGAACCCUGACCGAGCAACGCCGCGUGAGUGAAGAAGGUUUUCGGAUCGUAAAGCUCUGUUGUUAAGGAAGCGGUACUUAACCAGAAAGGGACGGCUAACUACGUGCCAGCAGCCGCGGUAAUAC
rnacentral:rRNA from 1 species